rnacentral:rRNA from 1 species
UACGUAGGGGGGCAAGCGUUUGUCCGGAAUCAUUGGGCGUAAAAGCGCGCGUAGGCGGCCCCGGUAAGUCCGCUGUGAAAAGUCAAAAGGCUCAACCUUUUGAAUGUCAGCGGAUACUGCCGGGCUAGAGUCCGGAAGAGGCGAGUGGAACUCCUGGUGUAGCGGUGGAAUGCGCAGAUAUCAGGAAGAACACCAACGGCGAAGGCAGCUCGCUGGGACGGAACUGACGCUAAGGCGCGAAAGCGUGGGGAGCGAACAGG